CGGCGCUUUAUUUAUGUUAUCUGUGAAGGCGAGUGGCACAGCUCUCACACACUCUGGGAGUCCAGACAGCCCCGAGCGUGCCGGGCGCAGGGGUGGGGGGCAGGGGGAGAGCAAAGAAACUCUGUGCCCGUUGCCAGCAGCCAAGGAAGGAUGUGUCUGCCAAGCAAGCGUAGCGGUAAUUAAAACGUGACGGCAACUAUUGCCAAGAACUCCUCCCACGCCCGGUCAAGGGCGGCAUGAGGUGUCACAGUCGCGGGCAGGGGCCCGCCCGUGCUCCCACCGGGCAGGUGUCCGCGCCUGCAUCCGCGCUCCCAACGCCAGGACCCACAGCCAGGUGUGGGUUUGGAACAGGAGCCCUUGAACGAGCGCGUGACUGGUCAUUGCUUCACAGAGCCCUUUUUAAAUGGUGAAAGUCUGCGCUGAGCUUGGGGGAUUAUCAAAGUGCAAACAAGAGGAGAGAGCGCAGGGGCUGGGGAGGGCUUUGUUCAGCUGGCGCCUUCUCAGGCGGUCUGGGCUGCGGGGACCUGGAGAGUCCUUGGCAGGAGCGGAUGAAAAGGUGGCGGUGCCCCAGGCCCCCCAAGCACCUUCCAGCCUCUGGAAGGACAGGGUGACCCCCUGGACCGAGAGCCCCUUGGCGAAAGAGGACUUCACGCACCGCUUUGUAGCGCCUCUGCUCUCCAAGAGACAAGUGGGAGGUCUGCACACCCUUAGAGACUCUCAUUUAAACAUCAUGCCAUCUUGCUCAACUGAAGGACAAGUGUGUCGUUGACCCAGGGCAGGGGCUCAGCCACGCCCCCCCAACACCUUCGUGCUGCUCGAUGCCACUGCGGACCAGGGUUUUAUCGUUCAUCUCUCCUUCACUGACAGCAGAGAGGGUUCCAGUGCUCAAAUCCAUGCCUUGAAGUCUGUGAAAUGCAGGGAAGGAGUAGGGCCGCUGAUGGCGAGUUUCCCUUGCGCCUUGCCCAGCGCAUCUCUCUGUGGCCCCAGACCGUCCUGUCCUCGUGUGCGGUCUGGGGACAGGGUUGUGGUGGCCCAUGCCUGGAGUAGAUGUUUUUAAGAAUCCAAGACUCCGGGGGCGCCUGGGUGGCUCAGUCGGUUGAUUGCCCGACUCUUGGUUUCGGCUCAGCUCAUGACCUCAGCUCAUGAUCAGGGGGUUCGUGAGUUCAGGCCUUGCCUUGGUCUCUGCACUGACAGCACGGAGCCUGCUUGCGAUUCUCUCUCUCCCUCUCUCUGCCUCCCCCCACUGGCUCUCUGCCUCUCUCUUUCAAAAUAAAUAAAUAAAACCCAAACGAUAGAAAAAAGAAUUCAAAACUCCACGCACAAAGAGCUGGAAGGUGCAGACACACGUUGGCCUCCUGCCCUGCUUGGAGGUGGGGAACUGGGAUCUCGGAGAUUCAGACCUCCCCACCCCACACACACACACUUGCGUGUGCCAGAACCCACAGCUGCUGAGCGUGUCGCUGUCUUCUUGACUCGAAGAUAGAAUAGCAGCCAAGCAUUUUGCGUCUGCUGUUCUGAAGGCUGCAAAUGCCUUGAAGGCUUCUCUCCGUCAAGAGGAGGGAGCAAGGGUCCCUGAAAUAGUUACUCAUCUGGAGGCGUGCUGUCCACCAAAUAACAAGGGGGAAAGCGGCCAAAGAAUCCUGAAAUCAGGUGGCGCGGGGAGAGAGGGAGUCCACAGGUUUUCCGUCUAUGAGAUUCUGUAACAUGC